rnacentral:rRNA from 1 species
UAAUACGAAUGGGGCAAGCGUUGUUCGGAAUCACUGGGCUUAAAGCGUGCGCAGGCGGUCAUGUAAGUCAGAAGUGAAAUCCCGGGGCUUAACCCCGGAAUUGCUUUUGAAACUGCACGACUAGAAUAUGGGAGAGGUUAGCAGAAUUCCGAGUGUAGAGGUGAAAUUCGCAGAUAUUCGGAGGAAUACCAGUGGCGAAGGCGGCUAACUGGACCAUUAUUGACGCUCAGGCACGAAAGCGUGGGGAGCAAACAGGAUUAGAUACCCUGGUAGUCCACGCUGUAAACGAUGUGUGCUAGUUGUCGGACCCGUUAGGGUUCGGUGACAACGCGAAAGCAUUAAGCACACCGCCUGGGGAGUACGGUCGCAAGAUUA